rnacentral:lncRNA from 8 species
AUGGCCCGGGUCACAACUCACGGUGCUCUUAAUAGAAGAGGGAGACAGCUUUCUGAGACUUCAAAGUGUUUCCUUUCAAGUGGUAUCAAUAAUAUGCAUAUCCUUACUUCAGGUCCUGAGCUACAGCCAGUUAGAUUUGGCUACAUCAGAGCCUUCCCCCUCGCUGGGCUGUGUGUUACAUCAGAGCCUUCCCCCUCGCUGGGCUGUGUGUUACAUCAGAGCCUUCCCCCUCGCUGGGCUGUGUGUUACAUCAGGGCCUUGCCCCUCGCUGGGCUGUGUGUUACAUCAGGGCCUUGUCCCUCCCUCGCUGGGCUGUGUGUUACAUCAGGGCCUUGUCCCCCCCUCGCUGGGCUGUGUGUUACAUCAGAGCCUUGUCCCCCCCUCGCUGGGCUGUGUGUUACAUCAGAGCCUUCCCCCUCGCUGGGCUGUGUGUUACAUCAGGGCCUUGCCCCUCGCUGGGCUGUGUGUUACAUCAGGGCCUUGCCCCUCCCUCGCUGGGCUGUGUGUUACAUCAGGGCCUUGUCCCUCCCUCGCUGGGCUGUGUGUUACAUCAGAGCCUUUUCCCUCGCUGGGCUGUGUGUUACAUCAGAGCCUUGUCCCUCCCUCGCUGGGCUGUGUGUUACAUCAGAGCCUUGUCCCUCGCUGGGCUGUGUGUUACAUCAGAGCCUUGUCCCUCGCUGGGCUGUGUGUUACAUCAGGGCCUUGUCCCCCCCUCGCUGGGCUGUGUGUUACAUCAGAGCCUUCCCCCUCGCUGGGCUGUGUGUUACAUCAGGGCCUUUCCCCUCGCUGGGCUGUGUGUUACAUCAGAGCCUUGUCCCUCCCUCGCUGGGCUGUGUGUUACAUCAGAGCCUUGUCCCUCCCUCGCUGGGCUGUGUGUUACAUCAGAGCCUUGUCCCUCCCUCGCUGGGCUGUGUGUUACAUCAGAGCCUUCCCCCUCGCUGGGCUGUGUGUUACAUCAGGGCCUUGUCCCUCCCUCGCUGGGCUGUGUGUUACAUCAGAGCCUUGUCCCUCGCUGGGCUGUGUGUUACAUCAGAGCCUUCUCCCUCGCUGGGCUGUGUGUUACAUCAGGGCCUUUCCCCUCGCUGGGCUGUGUGUUACAUCAGAGCCUUGUCCCCCCCUCGCUGGGCUGUGUGUUACAUCAGGGCCUUGUCCCUCCCUCGCUGGGCUGUGUGUUACAUCAGAGCCUUGUCCCUCCCUCGCUGGGCUGUGUGUUACAUCAGAGCCUUGUCCCUCCCUCGCUGGGCUGUGUGUUACAUCAGAGCCUUGUCCCUCCCUCGCUGGGCUGUGUGUUACAUCAGAGCCUUCCCCCUCGCUGGGCUGUGUGUUACAUCAGGGCCUUGUCCCCCCCUCGCUGGGCUGUGUGUUACAUCAGGGCCUUGUCCCCCCCUCGCUGGGCUGUGUGUUACAUCAGAGCCUUGUCCCCCCCUCGCUGGGCUGUGUGUUACAUCAGAGCCUUGUCCCUCCCUCGCUGGGCUGUGUGUUACAUCAGAGCCUUGUCCCCUCGCUGGGCUGUGUGUUACAUCAGGGCCUUGUCCCCUCGCUGGGCUGUGUGUUACAUCAGGGCCUUGUCCCCCCCUCGCUGGGCUGUGUGUUACAUCAGAGCCUUCCCCCUCGCUGGGCUGUGUGUUACAUCAGAGCCUUGUCCCUCCCUCGCUGGGCUGUGUGUUACAUCAGAGCCUUCCCCCUCGCUGGGCUGUGUGUUACAUCAGGGCCUUGUCCCCCCCUCGCUGGGCUGUGUGUUACAUCAGAGCCUUCCCCCUCGCUGGGCUGUGUGUUACAUCAGAGCCUUGUCCCCCCCUCGCUGGGCUGUGUGUUACAUCAGGGCCUUGUACCUCGCUGGGCUGUGUGUUACAUCAGGGCCUUGUCCCUCGCUGGGCUGUGUGUAUGCGUGUGUGCGUGUGCGUGUGUAUGUGUGUGUGUGUGUGUGUGUGUCUGUGCGUAGGCGAGUGUGUGUGUGUGUGUGUGUGUGUGUGUGUGUGUGCGUGCGUGCGUGCGUGUGUGUCUCCAUGA